GUUGUCUUUGUCACCGUAAACAAUUAGUAGGUUUCUCGCGCUUCCCGCCUCAUCAAAAGGUGCUAACCCAUAAAAUACUGGACAGGACAACGAUAUUUUUAGAAGACAAAUAGCCUGUGGUUCCAAGCGAAUAAACUGUGUUACACUAGGCUGGACUAUGUUUAAGGUUUUUGCGCACCGGUUGUUUUUUUUUUGCUACCUGAAUGAGUUUGGUCUCUCAGAAUUGUCCGACGACUCUUUUCAUGUGGAUGCCCUCAGUGCCACGACAGGAGGAAUAUGCAGAGCCGGAUUUUUCAACACAGUCCUUGCAACCUAAUGUGCCAGUGCCACCCAGAAGACUAACACCUCAUCCCUGUCCCUCAGGGUCCAAACCUUGCCCUCCCUAGACUACGGAGGUCCCAACGGGUUGUCAACCUAAAUUCAGGGUCAGUCUCUCAUUCCCCCAGGACGAAGACGCGCAGCACCCUCCGCUGGACUGGUGUUGGUAAACGAGACCAGACCUACUGAGAAGACACCCCGGUAUAAGCGAAGGAGACGGAACAGGACCAGGGUGAGUCCUUCUCCGAUCUCAUAUGGUAGACCUACAGCACAUUCAAGGCAAGGACAGAGACAGUCCAGCUCACCAGCCGCUCCUGAGGCUCCACAGUCACAGUCAGUGGACACGACUGGACAUUAACCUACUUUGAGUAACGACCCAGCUCCAGGCCAACACUGAGCUGCAGCUUGCCUGGCAUAUCCAACACCUUAUUCUGUCAGUGGACAACAGAACAACACCUUGAGCGAACUCCCAGUAAUCAGGACUGAAAUGGUGGAGAUAUCUCCAUUUAAAGCAAUUGAAAUGUUUGCUUGUUAGCAAUACUUUACUCUACACUACAUGAUUUACGUUUAUAUUUAUAUUAUUAUAUAUUUUUGUUCAGUAUAAACCAAAUUUGAUCCCAUUCACAUUCUUCCCUCCAAAAAAGGGCUAUAAAAGCACAACGUUACUGCUUCGUUUACUCUGGCCAGAGGGACAGCUUGUGUUAGUAGCCUAAAGUUGAUCAGACUGAAAAAAAUGGUCUCGUUUCCAUCCAAUAAAACAUGUCAGGUCACUAAUGCUGCUACAUUUAUGUAUGAUUUUUUUGUUCAUCGCCUUUCUAAAUAAAAACCCGGAGGAAAGUAGAGAUUUGUGGCCGGCCCGCGCGAACUGCAAUUUCUGUCUGAUUGACCAAGGUAAGCAGAGGCUGCAGCAGCACUCAACGUUUAGUACUGAAAUAGUGCAGGAGUUGUCAAAUCGUAAAAAUAAAAAUCUUUUGCCCUCCUUUUAAAA
ensembl:lncRNA